AACCUUCAACCUAUAAAGCCUUUGCGGGUUUGUAGGCUUGGACUUGGAGGCUUGUCGGCCUGUUAGCGGUCGGCUCCUCUUAAAUGCAUUAGUUCGAUUCCUUGCGGAUCGGCUCUCGGUGUGAUAAAUGUCUACGCCGCGACCGUGAAGCGUUUGACGAGCUUCCAAUCGUCUCGCGUGAGACAACAUAUUGAC
rnacentral:misc_RNA from 1 species